rnacentral:misc_RNA from 1 species
CUCUCUCUCUCUCUCUCUCUGUACGCCAAACAACCAAUCAACCACACAAACACUUUAUAUAAAAAAGCACUAAAGCAUCCCAUCAAAAAGGAGAAUGGGAAAUUGUUUACGCCGUGAAUCGUCUAUGCAAUGGGGCGGCGAAGACUGGGGCUCACCGGUGCCGGACCGUUUUUACUCUACUAAUACAAGACAUGGAAGCAGCAGGCACGACAAGGUCAUGUACGUAGAAGAGGAGGAGCUUCAUGGAGACGACAAACGCUUAUUAACGUCUUCAACCUCGUCGAGUACAGAAGUAAAGAUCAAGAUUACAAAGAAACAGCUUGAGGAGUUACUGGGUAGGGUUGACAUGAAAGAAUUAUCAGUAAAACAAGUUUUGGCUCAGUUGAUGAUAGAUGUCGGCUCCGAUCGAUGUGAGUCGCAUCAACGGUCGUGGAGGCCUAAUCUGCAGAGUAUUCCUGAGUGAUGGAUGGUGUCGAUGAUCACAAAGCUUCAUAAUAUUAUAUUCAUAAUGUGUAGGAUCUUUCUGCUCCAUUUUUCUCAUGGGAUCUCGCUUGUCUGUAUAUGGUUUUGUUUUGUAGGAAAGAUACAUAGAUCAAGAAAAAUGGAGCUACAAAGGUUCUACAGGCUUUGCUCGCUGUGUAAAUAUAGUUUAUAGAAACCCAAUACCUGGUUUUUGAGUUCAGGAGUGAAUCUUGAAUUUUUCUUCGUUAAACUCUUUUUCUUUUUGGUUUCGAUAAUUUUACAUUUAGAGAUAAGGAUCUCACAUUUUCCCCAUGAAUCCAAUGGCGGAUUCAAGCUAUCAGCUAUAUCACUGGCGAUGUUUGAAUAAUCUUUACCUCCAUCCAGUGUCUUGUUGGUCAGUGGUUCAUAAAAAUGUGGGAUUUUGAGUUUAAAACUUAAUUAAACCUAAUUGUGUAGAAAAAAAUAAUAAAAAAU